AUGGAUAACUUACCAGAAGGGUCAAAGAAGGUUGUUAUGCCACUGAGGUUUUCUAUGAAUUUACAGCAAGGGAUCCACAACGUGAAUGAGAUAAACAAGAAGUUUGAUUACAAGAACCGUCUCGACAAGAAAGACUUGGUCAUGCUGCCAGUGCUCGAGUACGCUGAUGUAACCGAUAAGGAGGGAGGGAGGCAUUAUUGGGUCUUCAAUGUCAACUUGAGGGACGGACGCUUCGAAGUUCUUGACUCAAACAGGACGCUGGACAACAUUGAGCUGAUGACCACCACCUCUACCAUCGCGGGGGCAGUACGCCAGCUAUGGAGGAAGCAUUACCCAAAGUUCAGCAUCGAGCACUUCUAG
rnacentral:rRNA from 1 species